GGAAUCAAACAGGGAGGCAGUAACAUCUAGAAACCGUGACAGUGAAUUUAAUGUUCAAAUACUUGCAGAACUGAGAGAAAUCAAGAGUGUUCUUUUGGAAACUCUGACACUUUUAAAAAAUGGAUGCACUCCAUUAAUGACUGUGCCAAUCCCAAACACAUUGGGAACUCCUGCUGGACCCACUUCAGAUUUGAUCCUCUGCAGUUCAGAGUCUUCUGCAGUCAUACCAGCCCAGAGUUCCUCUCUUCAGACUCUUUAUGUAAAGGAGUCUAGAAGUAAUGGUAACUGCAAAAAGGUAAGAAUUGGCUCCAACACAUCAAUCUCUGCUGAACAGUUUGCCCACGUAAAAUGGACUGAUCACAAAAAAGCCACAAAAGACCUCUUGAUGGCAGUGUUUGGAAGAGGCAUUCUCGCAACACACUGCUACAGUGGAAGAUGUUCCAAUGCAUUCAAAAACAAAGCAGCCAAGCCUCAA